rnacentral:lncRNA from 1 species
GGGAAUUACCCACUUAAUCCUUGGCACAAAGUGCUGAUAAUAUGCCAAUUAACGAGUAAUUAGGAAGAUUUUUCCCGAACAUUAGGUUCUGGGAGAAAGUCUCAUUUGAGAAAGAGGUUUGUAUGUCUUCUCUCCUCUUCCUGUGGUUUUCAGCUCAGCGGGCGUCCAGCGAAUCUGGGUUUGUUUACAAUGACUCCAGGGCUGUUCCAUUCACUGAUUUGGUUCAAGCAGCGUGUGUAAAUCAUGCUAUGCUGACCCUGGUCAUCCCAGAGCCCGCGUGAAUAAAAAAGGGGCCUUGCUCUCCCACUGUGAGACAGACUUGCAUGGGAUUCCUUCAGUGCAGAAUUCUGGAAUGUUGAUGAACACCAGGUCUGGCCAAAAAGAGAGCUUCCUAAUGAGGCAUCCUGGAAACUGAUGGGAACUGUGUUCUUAUCCAUCUCCCCCAUCUCUUGUGCCCCAGGACAUCAACUGGGAGUGGCCCAGAAGCCCGAAGCUGAGAGGACAAAGCUCACUGGGCCCACUCAACAUGAAGAUGACAAGGAUGAAGACCUUUAUGAUGAUCCAUUCCCACUUACUGAAUAAACUUCACCAGGACCCAGGAAAUAAGAUUUGAUUGCUGCACACUUAGAAACAAUGGCAAUCAAGGGAAAUGCCCCAUCUUACAUGGAGCUCUUCUAGUGGAAACACCAUGGUUGCCACCACGUACUGCUCCGUACCUAAGUUUCUAGGAACCAGACUCUGGAAACUCUUCUAGAACUGCCCCAGGAGAACCAACGUGUCUGUUGCUUGCAAAGACCUCCAGUGUCCCUGAGCCUGGCCACUGCCUCCCAUUGCUCAAACCCUCCUAGUCUCGUAUGUGGACAUCUGCUUGGAAGAAUCUCAUCCACGUACAAAAUCCUGGCUCUGUGGUCCUUUGGGAUCAGAGAGCACAGCUGCCACCACCAAGGAGCUGCAAUCACCACCACCAAGAAGCUGUAGCAACAGAGACCAGCGCAACGGUACUGUGAGGACCCAAGAAAACCCAGCUGUGAGCCAGGAGCUUUCCUCCCUGAAGCUUUCAACACCACGGGAAUUGAUUCAUGGCCCUGUCAUUUCAUCUCAUUCCUCGUGGACUCUCAGCAUCUUUAGAAUGACCUGAACAUUGUGGAGGGAGUCCAGAA